GGCCACAGCUCAGCGGUAGAGCAUCUGCCUUACGUGCAGAAGCUCCCAUGUUCAAUUCCAGGUAGGGCUG